ensembl:rRNA 5S_rRNA 5S ribosomal RNA
GCUUACGGCCAUACCACCCUAAGAACGCCCGAUCUCGUCUGAUCUCGGAAGCUAAGCAGGGUCGGGCCUGGUUAGUACUUGGAUGGGAGACCGCCUGGGAAUACCCGGUGCUGUAAGCU